rnacentral:lncRNA from 1 species
ACUGCAUAGUAAAAGAUGUUUGUUAGCAACAGAGUAGUCUUUUUGAAAAAAAAAGUUCCUUAGAGAAGGAGCCAAUGUUUAUAAAAUUAAACUUGAUGAAGUUCAAGAGAUGGAAGGACCAACAAAUACAGAAUUAGAUUUGAUUAGAGAAUCAAAUUUGGAGAUAGUAUAGGCACCAUUGAUGAGAUCUGAUAGAGUACCACAUCAGUUGGAUAAAUACUAUAAUUUUUUGAUCCGAGAUGGUGACCCCA